rnacentral:rRNA from 1 species
UCGGGAAUCUUGCACAAUGGGCGAAAGCCUGAUGCAGCAACGCCGUGUGAGCGAGGAAGGUCUUCGGAUCGUAAAGCUCUGUUGUUGGGGACGAAGGGCGAAGGGUUAAUAGCCCCUAGCCUGACGGUACCCUUCGAGGAAGCCCCGGCUAACUACGUGCCAGCAGCCGCGGUAAUACGUAGGGGGCGUGCGUUGUCCGGAAUUAUUGGGCGUAAAGAGCGUGUAGGCGGCCUGGUAAGUCUGUCGUGAAAUGCUGGGGCUCAACCCUGGACGUGCGAUGGGUACUGCUAGGCUAGAGGAUGGUAGAGGCGAGUGGAAUUCCCGGUGUAGCGGUGUAAUGCGCAGAUAUCGGGAGGAACACCAGUAGCGAAGGCGGCUCGCUGGGCCAUUCCUGACGCUGAGGGACGAAAGCUAGGGGAGCGAAUGGGAUUAGAUACCCGCGUAGUCC